GCCGGAGUAGCUCAAUCGGCAGAGCACGUAACGUCACCCCAUCGAUGCGUUCUCCGGGUUCGCGGCAGCGGAUCCGGCAGUGAGAGGUGGGGUUACUUCGACUUCCAAUCGCGUGGUUGCGGGUUCGAGUCCCGCCUCCGGCU
rnacentral:tRNA from 1 species